GUGAAUCAUCGAAUUUUUGAACGCAAAUUGCACUCUCCUCGGAGAGUAUGCCUGUUUGAGGGUCAGCCUAUAAAAAAUCGACAUCGUUGCUGCUUCGCGGCGGCGUUCGUCGGAAAUUGGGUCAUCUUAAAUCUUUUGGUUUUAAGCGACUUAAAAUUUUCUUUUUGGUUCCAUGAACGUUUCUAAGAUUUAUUUCGUUACACGUCUAUGGUAUCGAUUUUUAUUAGACGUGACCAUCAUAUCGGAUCUCGCUCAUACUCUUUCAUUACCUGACCUCAGACAGGUAAA
rnacentral:misc_RNA from 1 species